rnacentral:rRNA from 1 species
AGAGUUUGAUCAUGGCUCAGAUUGAACGCUGGCGGCAUGCCUAACACAUGCAAGUCGAACGGCAGCACAGUGGUAGCAAUACCAUGGGUGGCGAGUGGCGGACGGGUGAGUAAUGCAUCGGGACCUACCUGAACGUGGGGGAUAACGUAGGGAAACUUACGCUAAUACCGCAUACGUCCUACGGGAGAAAGCGGGGGACCUUCGGGCCUCGCGCGGUCAGACGGACCGAUGUUCGAUUAGCUAGUUGGUAAGGUAAUGGCUUACCAAGGCGACGAUCGAUAGCUGGUCUGAGAGGAUGAUCAGCCACACUGGAACUGAGACACGGUCCAGACUCCUACGGGACGCAGCAG